GAACCUCGCUGAGUCUCGCUAAGUCUUGCUAAAUCCUGUGAAUGUUUUUGACUUGUCUCGCCGGGAGCUCGCUAGCUUUUGCUAAGCGAGGGAGCCAGACAAGAAAUUUAUUUUGUUGACGUCUUGUUCUGAGUUGAUUGAAUGCGAGUAUGAAUUAUUGCUAUGCAAUGUUCAUUUUUCUUGUGUUGUUUUGAUUUCCUAACUUUGAGAAGUGAGGGAAGUAUAGGUUACUUGAAUGCUUGCAUGAAUUUGUGUUAGUGUUUAGGUAUCGUGGGUUGGGUUUUUCCCCUGUAUGUGACAUGUGACAUGCGUGUAAACGAUGUCGAUACUAGUUUCUUCUUAGGAAGAAUAUGUUUAGAGACGAUAGAACCGUUAGGUGUGAGCACCGGAAGUUCUAGUGGAAGAGUACGAG
rnacentral:lncRNA from 1 species